ensembl:snoRNA small nucleolar RNA, C/D box 57
UGUAAAUGAUGACAUAACAUGAUCCUGACAUGACUGAGGGUAAAAGCUGAUUUAAUGAGCCUGAUGC